rnacentral:rRNA from 1 species
GGCCGCAACUCCCACUCUCCCCACACCACCAGAGUGUGAGAUAUAGAAACCGAUACUCAGAGAGGCAUGCUUCCGAGGGCUCUCGAAAGCGCAACUUGCGUUCAAAGAUUCGAUGAUUCACUGAAUUCUGCAAUUCGCAUUACGUAUCGCAUUUCGCUGCGUUCUUCAUCGUUGUGGGAACCAAGAUGUCCAUUGCUAAGAGUUGUAUUUUGUUUAUAUGUAUAUCCAUCAGCUAUUUACUCCGAGUUCGCGACAAAAUACCCCCCACAGAGGGGUCACAUAGCCCACAAUCCACAUGUUUUUCGCAUGGCACCAAGACCAAUCAACGCUAAUGAUCCUUCCGCAGGUUCACCUACGGAAACCUUGUUACGACUUCUUCUUCCUCUAGUCGACCAAAUUUACAAAAGUUCGACCGCGCUCCGGCCAUUGCUGACCAUGAGCACGGCCUCCCGAUUGUUCACCGGGACGACCAAUCGGUAGAAGCGACGGGCGGUGUGUACA